CCUACGGGUGGCAGCAGUGAGGAAUAUUGGUCAAUGGACGCGAGUCUGAACCAGCCAAGUAGCGUGAAGGAUGAAUGCCCUAUGGGUUGUAAACUUCUUUUAUAUGGGAAUAAAAUGUUCCACGUGUGGGAUUUUGUAUGUACCAUAUGAAUAAGGAUCGGCUAACUCCGUGCCAGCAGCCGCGGUAAUACGGAGGAUCCGAGCGUUAUCCGGAUUUAUUGGGUUUAAAGGGAGCGUAGGUGGAUUGUUAAGUCAGUUGUGAAAGUUUGCGGCUCAACCGUAAAAUUGCAGUUGAAACUGGCAGGCUUGAGUACAGUAGAGGUGGGCGGAAUUCGUGGUGUAGCGGUGAAAUGCGUAGAUAUCACGAAGAACUCCGAUGGCGAAGGCAGCUCACUGGACUGCAACUGACACUGAGGCUCGAAAGUGUGGGUAGCAAACAGGAUUAGAUACCCUUGUAGUC
rnacentral:rRNA from 1 species